AACAAGAAUGUGUCCAAAGUACACGGAUGCCCCACUCGCACUAUCAUUUUCCAUGUUCAAUGGACCGUGAAAUUGGGAAAAUAAUCUAAUUUGGCAUUAAAAUUAGAAAGAUCAUGUAAUAAGCAACAUGUGUACUAAGUUUCAAUUUGAUUGGACUUCAGCUUCAUCAAAAACUACCUUGACCAAAAACUUUAACCUGAAACUUCCACUUUCAUUUUCUAUGUUCAGUGAACCUUGAAAUUGGGGUCAAAAGUCAAAUUUGGUCUUAAAAUCAGAAAGAUCAUACCAUAAGCAACAAGUGUAGUAAGUUUCAAGUUGAUUGGACUUCAGCUUCAUCAAAAACUACCUUGACCAAAAACUUUAACCUGAAGCGGGACAGACGGACGAACGAACAGACGGACGAACGGACGCACAGACCAGAAAACAUAAUGCCCCUCUACUAU
rnacentral:lncRNA from 1 species